GGGAAAAUAAUGAUAUUACCUUAUUAUUAGUGUCGUCCAAAACUGGUGCCAGAAGACUCGGUAAGGCCAGAGACACAAACGUUAAUCGUCUUAAUCAGGCGUAAAGGGUUUGUAGGCGGCUUUAAAAUUUACUAAAAAAAAUAAUUAAAAUAAGUAAAGAAUAAAAGCUAGAAUCAAAUAGAGGAUAUAUGAAAGAAUGCUUAGAGUAGGUCUGAUAUCUUUAGAUACUAAGUAGAAUAUUAAAGGCGAAAGCUUUUUUCCAUUAAUGAUUGACGCUCAGAAACGAAGGUGAGGAUAGGAGAUAGGAUUAGAUACCCAGAAUACCCCUCUCUGUCAACGAUGAAUGGUAAUUAUUAGUAAAAAUUUUAUUAAUAGUAAUGUUAACACGAUAACCAUUCCGCCUUGUGAGUACAACUGCAAAGUUGAAAACAAAAAAAUUAUUCGGUUUCGGAGCAAACGAAGUGAAGCAUGUAUUUAA
rnacentral:rRNA from 1 species